UGUCGUCAGCUCGUGUUGUGAAAUGUUGGGUUAAGUCCCGCAACGAGCGCAACCCUUAUCCUUUGUUGCCAGCGGUCCGGCCGGGAACUCAAAGGAGACUGCCAGUGAUAAACUGGAGGAAGGUGGGGAUGACGUCAAGUCAUCAUGGCCCUUACGACCAGGGCUACACACGUGCUACAAUGGCGCAUACAAAGAGAAGCGACCUCGCGAGAGCAAGCGGACCUCAUAAAGUGCGUCGUAGUCCGGAUUGGAGUCUGCAACUCGACUCCAUGAAGUCGGAAUCGCUAGU
rnacentral:rRNA from 2 species